rnacentral:misc_RNA from 1 species
AUUAUGACAGUGACGGCAAUCAAAAAUCUCAUUACAACAAGGCGCUCUAAUGUGGCACCUUCUGUGAUAAUGAGAGCAUCUGCAAUGAAAAGAUAUUGAUAAAAACAAGAUUGUAGUGAAAGGAACGGGUAAAACUUGCAAGACAAACAGGCAAGGACCUUAUCCAUAUUUCAUUCAACCUUUACCUAGCAUUUCCAAAAUCUUCAUAU